rnacentral:rRNA from 1 species
GAAGGGAGCUUGCUCCUGGAUUCAGCGGCGGACGGGUGAGUAAUGCCUAGGAAUCUGCCUGGUAGUGGGGGAUAACGUCCGGAAACGGGCGCUAAUACCGCAUACGUCCUGAGGGAGAAAGUGGGGGAUCUUCGGACCUCACGCUAUCAGAUGAGCCUAGGUCGGAUUAGCUAGUUGGUGGGGUAAAGGCCUACCAAGGCGACGAUCCGUAACUGGUCUGAGAGGAUGAUCAGUCACACUGGAACUGAGACACGGUCCAGACUCCUACGGGAGGCAGCAGUGGGGAAUAUUGGACAAUGGGCGAAAGCCUGAUCCAGCCAUGCCGCGUGUGUGAAGAAGGUCUUCGGAUUGUAAAGCACUUUAAGUUGGGAGGAAGGGCAGUAAGUUAAUACCUUGCUGUUUUGACGUUACCAACAGAAUAAGCACCGGCUAACUUCGUGCCAGCAGCCGCGGUAAUACGAAGGGUGCAAGCGUUAAUCGGAAUUACUGGGCGUAAAGCGCGCGUAGGUGGUUCAGCAAGUUGGAUGUGAAAUCCCCGGGCUCAACCUGGGAACUGCAUCCAAAACUACUGAGCUAGAGUACGGUAGAGGGUGGUGGAAUUUCCUGUGUAGCGGUGAAAUGCGUAGAUAUAGGAAGGAACACCAGUGGCGAAGGCGACCACCUGGACUGAUACUGACACUGAGGUGCGAAAGCGUGGGGGAGCAAACAGGAUUAGAUACCCUGGUAGUCCACGCCGUAAACGAUGUCGACUAGCCGUUGGGAUCCUUGAGAUCUUAGUGGCGCAGCUAACGCGAUAAGUCGACCGCCUGGGGAGUACGGGCCGCAAGGUUAAAACUCAAAUGAAUUGACGGGGGCCCGCACAA